GACGAACGCUGGCGGCGUGCUUAACACAUGCAAGUCGAACGAUGAAACCUAGCUUGCUAGGUCGAUUAGUGGCGAACGGGUGAGUGACACGUGACUAACCUGCCCCUUUCUCUGGGAUAACGCUCCGAAAUGGUAGCUAAUACCGGAUACGACCCUCGGUGGCAUCACCAGGGGGUGGAAAGAAUUUCGGUCAAGGAUGGACUCGCGGCCUAUCAGCUAGUUGGUGAGGUAACGGCUCACCAAGGCGACGACGGGUAGCCGGCCUGAGAGGGUGACCGGCCACACUGGGACUGAGACACGGCCCAGACUCCUACGGGAGGCAGCAGUGGGGAAUAUUGCACAAUGGGCGCAAGCCUGAUGCAGCAACGCCGCGUGAGGGAUGACGGCCUUCGGGUUGUAAACCUCUUUUAGUAGGGAAGAAGCGAAGGUGACGGUACCUGCAGAAAAAGCACCGGCUAACUACGUGCCAGCCGCCGCCGUAA
rnacentral:rRNA from 1 species